GGUUAAAUUGCUUUAUUCUCCUGAACCGUGUGACAGCUCAACAUCUGUACAGCUGUUUGUGUAACCAGCGCCAUGCCAGAGGAAGCCGUGUGAGCACCCACUGCCCCACCCCACACCCACAGCCCCACAUCACAGCCAGCCCUGCUCACAGGGGCAAAGGAUGCUGGAUGGGGACUCAAAGGAUUUUAGAAGUUGGUGCUUGCAGGCACUGCGGCUUUUUUCUAAUUAAAGUUCAUUAGUAGUGAUAGUAGUAAUUAUAACAUUAACAGCAGCCAGAGCAGGGACAAUUAAGGCUUCUCUUCUGGCCAAUUACUGGCAUCUCUUUGAGUCUCUGCACAGCCAACGCUGCAGCAUCCUGACGCAGACCGCCGGCACGGAGCGCUCUCACGUGAGCCCUGGCACUGGAGGGGACGCUGUGUGUUUCUGGGCGUUGUGCAGCCUGCAGGAUUUUCGUCUCUUCUGGCCCCAGCACCUCAAGACCCCACCUUUCAGCCUGAACACCGUUUAAACGUAUCAUUUGUUUUCAUUGUAGGUUUUGCAUCUCUGCCUUUCAUUCUUGUUCAUGAACAUCUGGAGUCUGAUUGGAAAACAAAAGGCAAAUGCAGGCAUAGCAGGCAAUCUGACAAAGGACGCGGUUACAGCUCUGGCAGGCUCCACCGCACCGGUGGUAGUGAGGAGAUGGCCAUUUGCUGAUUGCCUGGGGUUGACACGGCUUGGUUAGUAUGCUAAUGCAGCCUCUCACAUUUAACAUUCAGAUCAGGUCUGCGCAGAGCGCGGCGCCGGGAAGGGGUGGCUGCAUGGAGCCCCGACCGCACCGCAGCGAUCACACACACACCCAAACCCAGCGGCUCUGCUGCCAUGCGCUCUCUCCCUCUUGCACACCCUCUCCCCUCUCCUCCCCUCCUGCCCUCCAUGGUGCACACGCGUACGUACCAUCCGAAAAGCUUCCUGCAGAUGCUGAAAAAUAGGAAAUGUGGAAAAGUCAUGUAUGAUUGGCUCAUUUCUCUGCCUCCUUGUCCCCAAAGAUUCCCACUUUAAUAGACCCUGUGUUUCUGUUGCUGGAGAAGCCCAGAACGUAAUGCACCAGAAUUCAGUAAUAACAAAGCAAGAUGAAGUUUAUCAUCCAGAGCAAAGGGAUGGCAUUUUUGUAGCUCACAUACAAUGUAACAGUCACCAGGAGGCUUAAAAUUCCCUGUGUCCUCUCUCCCCACCCAACCUCAGCCCAAGAGAAAGAAAACAUUACAAUCCAUUCGUUUAGGGCAGCUAUCAUAUGCCCAGGUGAGAAGUAAAGCUUGCUCCUGUUAUUGCAGAUGAUUGUUGCUUUUCCUGUGAGCUUGGAGGCAGGGAGUUGCAAUCCCCCACCUGGCGUAAGUGGUUUCCAAUUUCCAGAAUUAAGGAAGGAAUUGUUUCCAGAGUCAGUUCACAUGGUAAGGUCCAGCAGAUCCUGCAGCCACAAGAGAACUUAAUUCCUCAAGCUCCCUUUUCUUUGUUUUUGUAAUGUCACAGCAGUUCUGGAAAGGCAUAUGGAGAAUCGUCAGCUUCUGCUUGCAUUCAGAGGGCUUCAGAAGUUGCAUUUUCAGAGACCAGGUCAGAUGUGGGUAAAAAUGAGACUCCGUCCGAGAUAGAAGCAGACAAAGCUGUUUAACCUCUGAAUUAUAGCACAGCUCCAUAGUUCUGCCUUCUGUUGUUUCAUGCUCUAAGCAAACUGCUUCUUGCAGUUCUCCCUCCUGGUGCCAAGCACGUAUUCCAGCUGCAGCUCAGCAGCACGGGGAAAUUCCUUCCAAGUCCCCGGCAGAGCAGUCGGCGCUUUCCGGAGCCGCAGGCUUGAUUGUCCUUGAUUAUUUUAUUUCUUUGGCUCUGAUCCAAGAUGUUUCCUGUCAUCAUUUCAGUGUCUUUUCUCAUAAUCCCUUUUCUAAACAUCAUCAACAAUUAACCGAUUCUCUCGUAUCUACAAACACAUGCACACACAGGCAGGCGCGCAUGCACACACACUCCACUGAGUCUCAUCAGUGUCUUUUUUGCCUUUAAGUAUAAGAAAUUACAGCUUCUCAUUAGCUGAAGAGCAUGUUUUGAAAGGCUUUGUGUUUACUCACUUUGCGAGUGAUGCUGGCGCUUUUAAUUAUUCUCCUUUUGCAUAUCAUAAGAGAGCAGGGAGCUGCUCCAGCCAGCCCGGAUGAGCCGCAUUCCCAGGAAGGCAGGAGGAAGGAAUCGUUUUGUACCUCUGCUGCUGCUUUCUUCCUUUUCUGUCAGCCAGCCAAGGAAUCCCCCCAAUGCUCUUACGUAGCAGAUACCAAAACUGUGAGUCACUUUUUGCUCCCAGAGCAUUAAGUCCACCACAUCUGCGUGCAGAACGGCGAGCACAAGGCUGGAAAUUUCUCCAGCGGUGACUUUGUUUUCCUGCUCUUGCUUUCUCUCCUUGGCUCCCUCGUUCCCUCAUUCCUCCUUCCGACUUCCCCAUUUUCUUUCUUCCUUCCUCUCCAUCCGUCUCCGUGGCUGGCAGCGGUAAGCCCGGCGAGGUCUGGGUCCCUCUCGCCUUCUGUGGAUUUUUUUGUGUGCAACUGCAGCAGCCUUUGGCUGCUCACUCUGCCAGGUUGGAUCACCAAAGACACACGACUCGCACACAAUGAAUAAUCAAUACAGAUAUUGAUCUGCGGAAAAUGUUUGUAAAUUCCUGAAAGGGGAAUCGGGAGCGCGGGACAGGGAGGCUUGUGGGGGACGACAGGGUGUUCCGGGCAGCGGCUGCCGCAGAGCCGGGUCCAGAGCCCACGUCCUGCCGCCUCCGAGGUGACGGGUGCUGGAAUGCAUGCGCGGGCGGGCGGGCGCGGGGGCUUCUGUAUUUUCAUUUCUCUACAGCUGCUUCCUCCGAAGAAUCGGGAGGCGAGCAGCUGAGAGGCCCCGCCAGUGCCAUGCCUUGGCUGCGGUCCAGCUCUGUUUUGUUUCCAUCAUCACACGCCACUUCAGAAUUUGCAUAAAUACAAGGGUUAUUUUCUGUUGCGUCUCCUGAAAGAUUUAAAAAGAU
ensembl:lncRNA